ensembl:snRNA U6 U6 spliceosomal RNA
GUGCUCACUUCAGCAGCGCAUAUCCUAAAACUGGAACAAUACAGAGAAGAUUAACAUGGCCCCUGUGCAAGGAUGACACACAAAUCUGUGAAGCGUUCCAUAUUUUU